GAGUUUGAUCAUGGCUCAGGACGAACGCUGGCGCGCAUGCCUAUUACAUGCCAAGUCGAGCGGAAUGACGAGAGCUUGCUCUCUGAUUUUAGCGGCGGACGGGUGAGUAACACGUGGGCAACCUGCCCUACAGAUGGGGAUAACUCCGGGAAACCGGGGCUAAUACCGAAUAAUCAGUUUGUCCGCAUGGACAAACUCUGAAAGACGGUUUCGUGUUUGUCACUGUAGGAUGGGCCCGCGGCGCGUUAGCUAGUUGGUGGGGUAAUGGCCUACCAAGGCAACGAUGCGUAGCCGACCUGAGAGGGUGAUCGGCCACACUGGGACUGAGACACGGCCCAGACUCCUACGGGAGGCAGCAGUAGGGAAUCUUCCACAAUGGACGAAAGUCUGAUGGAGCAAUGCCGCGUGAGCGAAGAAGGUUUCGGAUCGUAAAGCUCUGUUGUAAGGGAAGAACACGUACGGGAGUAACUGCCCGUGCCAUGACGGUACCUUAUUAGAAAGCCACGGUAACUACGUGCCAGCAGGCCGCGGUAAUACGUAGGUGGCAAGC
rnacentral:rRNA from 1 species